rnacentral:rRNA from 1 species
AGAAUCAACGCUGGCGGCGUGCCUAACACAUGCAAGUCGAACGCGAAAGUGGAGCAAUCCAUGAGUAGAGUGGCGAACGGGUGAGUAACGCGUGGGUGACCUACCUCAGAGUGGGGGAUAACGUUUCGAAAGGAACGCUAAUACCGCAUAACAUCCUGCCUUUGGACAGGUGGUGAUCAAAGCCGGGGACCGCAAGGCCUGGCGCUUGGGAGAGGGGCCCGCGUCCGAUUAGCUAGUUGGUAGGGUAAUGGCCUACCAAGGCGACGAUCGGUA